GUGGCCUAGGCAUUGUUUAGGUAAAGUUUCAUCAAGAUUGGGUCGCUGGUCUUGGAGGAAAUAGGGAACAUACAAACAUAUCAGGCUAAAAUAUGUUUUGAGACUACAGACAGAUUUUUUGGGUCGAGAAUUGCUUUAAAAGGCUUUUUUAAUAGUAAAAGACGACACGGUUUAGUCACACAGCUUUGUAAUGAUUCUAACUAAACACUAGAUGGAGACAAACAUUUGGAUUCACACAAACUGAACUUCAUGUCAGACACUGGUUUUAUAAAAGUAAAUGAAAUUUAAUACUACAAACCUUCACAUUUAUUUGUUAACUAAAACACGGUUUGAUUAGAGUCUAAACAACUUUAAAGUUUUGCAGUGAGUUUUGGAAAAGAAGACAGCAAGGUGGCUAAGGCUGGGCAACCUUUAAUCAUUUACAGAAUUUGACAUUUUUCAACAAUGUUUCUUAAUAUCAAAAUGACAAUCAGCCCAUUAUGAACAAUAUUUAUGCCAUUAAGAUAUAAUGUACUUUAUGUAACUGCCACUGAAGGCUGUCAAAGAGGAAUACCUCAGGAUCUUCCAAACUCCAGGGACCCGUGCCAAAGCUGUGAUGAAGAUGAUGGUAUGACAGGAGUUCAGACAGCAGUUCUGAUAAUAAGAAUGUCUAAUACACCUCUUCCUGCAGACAGUGUUCCCUCUAAUUUUUCAUGUGUCUGAGCAAACACACAAACUCCCUGAGCGGUCCCAUGGACCUGUCAUGGGCCUGGGUCUGGGGACUCAGGGCUCAUGCAUUAUUCUUGGGUUUAGUGAAUAUUAUAAGUUCGGUUUGACUCUGUGGAUUGUUUAUUGUUGUUUGUUGGUGUGAUCUGCUCCUGGUCCCUUGUUUCCCUGUCUACGUGUUAGGGUGUGUGUGUUGCGGUGUGUGAGUUUUGCUGCCAUACAAGGUCCUGGAGAGUCUUUGAGCCUUGAGCCAGCCACACCGGGUGUAAUCAGCCAUCUGUUGCCGAUUGUCAAGGAAACACUACUCAAGACAGGAUCGGAGCGGCAGCCAGCACGGGAUUGUUAAACCAGGAACAUUGUGGAUUGUGGAAACGUGUGGCGGGAGCAGCACACUGUUGUACAUAGGCACCGAGGAGGACUAAACACUUACCACGGAUCAUGGCGCGGGGAUUGGGAACGAGCGCACAGAGAACCCACGCACUGUGGAUUGUUGGCACUGUUUUAUAGUUUCUUUUCAUUGUAAAUAAACGCACCAUCUCCAUUCA